GCGACCCCAGGUCAGGCGGGGCUACCCGCUGAAUU
rnacentral:rRNA from 9 species